rnacentral:lncRNA from 1 species
AUGCAGAGGCCACCAAGACCUGCCAUCACUGCCACUCCCUCGGUCCCCCCACCUACUCAAACCUCAAAAGGGAGCCUGUUCCCAUUUCACAGACGCAGAAAGAGGCUGAGCAGGCAAGACAAGCCGCCACGGCUCCCUGGUAGGUGGGACGCCCCCCUCCCCCUCCCUGCCUCCCUUCUCAGGGGAGACAAAGCAGGUCCCUCCCUGCCACCGCCCACCAAGUCCACGGGGUGGGGGAGGGGCGUGUGGUCUGGGUUUGUCUUGGGUGUUGGGUUCUUCCUUCUUGGAGCUUUUCUGAACUUUUGGGACCAAAGCAGGUUUGGGCGUCAGAUUCCCCAACGAGCUCCCGGGAGGGUCGUUCUGUUCUGCCCCCCACCCCAUGCACUUUCAAACUCUCUGGGGCUUCCAGCGUCCUCCGCGCUCAAAUCGGAACCCAGGUUCCGGUUGCAUGCAAGUUUUCCUUUAGGAAGAGGAAGCGGCCACUGGGGGUCGAGAGCGGGCAGCGAGCGAGCGAGCGUGCAGGGGCAAACAGGGGGUGCCUGGGGGCGGCUUAGCCCGCGAACCCCGCCCCUCCCGCCCCGGCGGAGGCACGGGAGGGUCGCGAAGUUGUUACGGCCCCCGGGGCGGGGCUUGCAGGAAAAGCGAGGGGAGGAAAGGCGCCCCGGGUUCCCGGCGCCUCCCCCGGGCUUACCCACCUCCCCCGGCUCCCCCGAGCCCCGGCUCACCUGUCUCCCGGCUCACCUGUCCCCCAGGCUCUCACCUGCGCCGCAGGGCGGAGGGACGGAGGGGCGGCGCGCGGACGGUGCAGCUUCCAGCGCCGGAUCCCCUCCUAUCCUGCAGCCGCCUCGCUCCUGCGGCCGCGCGGUCCGGCCCGGGGCGGCUCCUGCACUUCCUGCGCUGUCUGGCUGGAGGGCGGCGGCUGCGGCCCCGCAGGCCCCGCUCCACCGCCUCCUCCAGGAAGCCUUCGGGGAAGGAGACCAGCCUUGCGGGGACCGAUGUUGGCUGUAG